UACUGGGCUGGGAAUCCCAACUCCCCCAACCUGAGAAGUGACCACGCGGGUCCAGAGCUUUGCGUCCCCUCCCCCAGCCCACGCCCUGCUUGGCUGUGCCGUGGAGCUGCAGAACUGUGCCCGGUGGCCAGCGGGGUGCAGGGCGAAUGCCGGGAUCCUGGCCUCUUCCUAGCCCCGGUUUCGUCUGCUACCUCCUUUUGUUAUAGGAUGCGCGGGAGUCUUUUGGGAGAACUAGGGACGUCGACAUGAAGAGAAAGGUGGACUCGAGUUCGGUCAUUCAGUCUCGCCCACCCCUGCCGCAGCCACUACCCAGCGGUGGGAAAAAACGAGAGGAAGAAAGAGAGAAGAAAGUUGCGCCGGGCUCUCUCGCGGGGCGGUGCGCGGAGCUGCUGGUAGGACCCGGGCCCUGGAGCUGAGCAUUCGCCCAGGACUCUCCGCUCUGCACAAAAACAGCUCGCCCAGAAGAAAAAAGGCAAGCAACACACCUCUUCCCGACUUCCCGAAAGUAUCGACGCUCUCUUCCACAACCGCUAGAUUCAUUUGAGAAAGGAUCUCAGGCAGAGGUCUUACUUGGAGAUAAUUUUAGCUACCCGUUAGACCCCAUUUGUUCAAAGCUGGUUCUCUCAGAAGUUACAAUGGUCAGUACACCUAGAUUUUGCUCUACCGCUGUCCAAGAGAAAUGCAGGGGGGUGGGGGUGGGGGAGAUCCUAGUGGUAAGGAGAAAUGGAGACCCGGAGAGUAGAGUAUUGCUCCUUCACUCCUUCCCUGAUUCUUGCAAGGUGGAAUUCAAAGUCCAAGCGCCCUCCCCACUCUACCCCCACCACCGUAACCACUCUCCAAGUCACCUCUUGUCAGGACAUUUGACUCACACGCGCGAUUUAAUACUCCACCUCUUCCUCGUCUUCCCAUUAAAGUGUCUGAUAAGCAA